rnacentral:sRNA from 17 species
GUCAGUAACCCAGCCCUAAAGGGACUGGGCUUGUAAGAGAAAUCAAACAAGCUGUACUGACCAGUCUAAGUCUUAACUGACUACGUUUUUUGAGUCACGACACCGGAGAAUGCGUACGCCCCCGGCGUUGCCGAAGGCUAGCUAGUUUUCCGCUCUGUC